CGCGCCGCGGUGCAGGCUGGGAGCUCCGAGGCGGUGGCGCCAGGAGGGACGGUGGCGGCCAUUUUGUGUCUGCCUCGCUCGCCUCCGUGGAGAGGCUGGUGUGGGCGUUGCGGCUCAGGAGAGAAGAGCUUGGCUGUCUCUUUUCUGUGUAGGUCGGGGGUGUCGCCGCCAUGGGCCGUAAGAAGAAGAAGCAGCUGAAGCCUUGGUGCUGGUAUUGUAACAGGGAUUUUGAUGAUGAAAAAAUCCUUAUACAGCAUCAAAAAGCAAAGCACUUUAAAUGCCAUAUAUGUCAUAAGAAACUGUAUACAGGACCUGGUUUAGCGAUACACUGCAUGCAGGUACAUAAAGAAACAAUAGAUGCUGUUCCAAAUGCUAUUCCUGGAAGAACAGACAUUGAACUGGAAAUCUAUGGCAUGGAGGGCAUUCCAGAAAAAGAUAUGGAGGAACGAAGGAGGUUACUUGAACAAAAAACUCAGGCAGAGAGCCAGAAAAAGAAACAACAGGAUGAUUCUGAUGAGUAUGAAGAUGAUGAAUCUGCAGCUUCAACUUCAUUUCAACCCCAGCAAGUUCAGCCACAGCAGGGGUACAUUCCCCCAAUGGCACAACCAGGUUUGCCUCCUGUGCCGGGUGCACCAGGAAUGCCUCCAGGUAUACCACCAUUAAUGGCAGGUGUUCCACCUAUGAUGCCUGGAAUGCCUCCAGUUAUGCCUGGAAUGCCGCCUGGAUUACAUCAACAGAGAAAAUACAUGCAGUCAUUUUGUGGUGGAAACAUGAUGAUGCCGAUGGGUGGAAUGAUGCCUCCUGGGCCAGGAAUACCACCUCUUAUGCCUGGUAUGCCACCAGGUAUGCCACCGCCUGUUGGGCCUCGUCCUGGGAUGCCUCCAAUGACACAAGCACAGCCUGUUACAGCACCGGGCAUUCUUAACAGACCUCCAGCUCCUGCUGCGUCGGCACCUACCCCCCAGCCUCCAGUUACUAAACCACUCUUCCCAAGUGCGGGACAGAUGGGGACACCUGUCACAAGCUCAAGUGCAGCUUCCUCCAAUUCAGAAAGUCUGUCAGCAUCUUCUAACGCUCUGUUUCCUAGCACAGCACAAGCUGCAGCAGCUGUUCCAGGUCCAGUUGGUACUGAUUUCAAACCUUUGAAUUCUACACCUGCAACAACAACGGAACCCCCAAAACCUACAUUCCCUGCUUACACACAGUCUACAGCCUCAACCACUAGCACGACAAACAGUACUGCAGCUAAACCAGCUACAUCUAUAACAAGUAAGCCUGCUACUCUCACAACAACCAGUGCAACCAGUAAGUUGAUCCAUCCAGAUGAGGAUAUAUCACUGGAAGAGAGGAGGGCACAGUUGCCUAAAUAUCAGCGUAAUCUUCCUCGACCAGGACAAGCUUCCUUGGGUAAUCCACCAGUUGGACCAAUUGGAGGUAUGAUGCCACCACAGCCAGGAAUUCCUCCACAACAACAAGGAAUGAGACCUCCCAUGCCACCUCAUGGUCAGUAUGGUGCUCAUCACCAGGGCAUGCCAGGAUAUCUUCCUGGAGCCAUGCCUCCAUACGGUCAGGGACCUCCGAUGGUGCCCCCUUACCAAAGUGGACCUCCUCGACCUCCAAUGGGAAUGAGACCUCCUGUAAUGUCGCAAGGUGGCCGCUACUGAUGCUACUACACACGCUCUAAUAGGUUUUUAGAAGUGAAGUAUAGUAAAUAUGGUUCGUUAAAUUGUGAAGGCGCUGGAAUUACAUGAACAUACCACCUUAAAGCCCUGCCAUAGGACAGGCUGAGGCAGAGUCUCAGUGUUGCCCUGUUCAGUCUGAGGGCAAGAAUUACUGAUAUUCUGCUAAAUUGGGUGAAUUUGCACCCGCUGUUUUUAACAAGAGAAGUGAAUGGGAGAUGUGGCAAAUAAAGUACGUACCACGCAUGAAGUUUUGGCUUGCUUAGAAUUGUGUGAUGAGCUCCUAAUGUGUUCUGUGCCUUGCCUAAUAAAGAUUGUAGCCCUUAAAUACUCUGAGGAAUAGGCUACCUCCAGAAGAAUUUUUAAAAAGAAUUUUUUUUAAAGUGUGUCUACUUCCAAUCAAAAUGAUCAGACCAGUGAAAUAAUGGUAGUGACUGGGUUCUAUAAAAAUGCAGCUAUCGGUGACUACCAUAUUUUCCUGUGAUAAAUUGGGGUAGGUAGAUACUAGUUCAGAGUAAGAAAAGUUUUGAGGCAGCUGUUGAAGGGAUCAAGAUAGAAUUGAAGUGAUUCUGAAGUGUAAUAUAACGUUCUUUUUGACGUUCUGAAUGUGAGAGUUUUCUUACACAGUGUAAACAGCAGCUUUAUGCAGUCUUUUGAUUGUCAGAGUGCAGAUUCUCAUUAAGACUCUACUAGAAGAAAAUAGUUCAAGUACAGUAUUUGUAGAUUCUGUUGUAGAGUGAAUGCAUUUUUACUUUUGUCUUGCGAAGGUCUAUUUGAGGGAGCCAGGCACUUCAGCUUGCUGGUUUUGCAGACAGCCAUAUCCUGUCUUGAACCACAGGAUCCAGGAUGUUAUCCUCAGUCGUUUGUUCUUAGAAUCCUGACGAGUCGGUAUUGACUGUCCGUGGUGUGAACUGUCACUGAGGGUUGGUAUUUAUACACCUGAUCACUAUUUUGAAUAGUGAGGUGCUUGCACCUUCUGAGCAAGUUUACAAUACCUUGUUUUGUUCUUACGGGCUUUCUUGCAGUAGGAACAGUAGCUGUUUUAAUGACAAUGAAUUUAACUUCUCCACAAAUAUUGUCUUGAACUUAUCUUAAGGUUUUCCUUUCUCAGGGAUUUAAAGAAGUUUAAAAGUUUUGAGAAAAUAGUAGAAUUUUAAUGCCAGUGUCAUCUUAACUAAAAACAAACAAACACAGAACUUUGAGAGCUUGGAAGCUUCCUUAAGAAUUCUCAUUAGCAGUUAAAGUAUGUAUCUCUGUUAGCUAACUGCUUUAUACCAGAUUCAAGCUUCUGGCAUCUCAGAUUUUAUUUCUUAAAUUUUGUCUAAAUCUUAACCAUGUUCCCAGGUGCUAUUCAGAAAGGGUCUGUGUGUAGAAUUUCAACUUCUGCUGCCCUUAGUAGCCAAUAUGUAUAAAAUGGUUUUUGCUAACAGCAAUUUUGUAUUACCAGAAAUUAAUGCCAUACAACCAAAGGAAGCUAUUUCACUGUCUCCCAACUUAGGAAAUUAUGUAAUGCUUUGAGAUGAAGAUGUCAUGCAGAGCGCUUUUUCUUUCUCUCUUUUUUUUUUUUGUUGAGUUACUUGCAUAUAUGUUACUUGCACUGAAUUCUUUAGCUUCUUUCCCAUAAACUUUAGUGGAAGAAAACACAUUUUGGUCUUUCAUUUGUAAAGUCUAGAAUAAGAAAACACACUUUAUGAGACUGUUUAAUGAAGGAACCUGGCUAUGUAAGUAUUGUAAUUUCCUUUGUUUGUGGUAGGCAACAGGAUUACCUUGUUAAACUUCUGGCUUAUGUAUGAAAAAUAUCAGAAAAUUAAGGGCAAAUUGAAAGUAGUUUUAUAGUUGCCUUUACUUCAUAUGCUUUUCUUAAGCAACAAAUUGCAGUAAUUGAAGUUUGGCAGCUUUUUUAAUGAAAAACUAAAUUAUGGGUUAAACUCCUUGGUUUAAUACAAUUUGUGUUUCUGUUAACUAGCAGCAGAAUUUCAGCAUUUGCUACUUACUGGUAGAGAAGAAAAAUUCCACAGCACUGCCAGUACAGAGCAAAACGCUGGAGAGAUGAGGUAGCUUUGAAGAUGUGUGUCCUUGCAACUCCUGUCUACAGGAUGAGAAUGGAUUACUCUGCUAGGCCGGUUGGUCUCAUUUAGCUACCACUGUUUACUUGUUUCUAAGAGGUAUUAAAAGGAAGAUAAAUCCAUGAUUUUAAUGCUACGCUACCUGGAACAAUUCAUGGCAUUUUGAAUUGGUUUUUGGCUGUGCCCAGAUCUUGGCUCCAAGUUGGAAAAGCAAAUCAUACCUUGCUACUGUUAGAACUACAUCUUCAGCAGGUGGCUGUAGCCUGGCCAGCUCCAUCCCUGCAGCUCCUGGUGGUACAACAGCGACACAGCCUCUGAAUUGAAGUGUAAAAGGAGCAGUUACCAGCACAGCCAGCGUCAAAGGCAGUUGUGGGGCUCUGCGCAAACUCCGCGCAAUGGCUGAAAGUGCACAGGUUGUAACUGAGGGAAGGCGAUGAGCGCUCACUCCCCAGGACCACGGCUUGGCAAGAGGACCACCAUGGCGUGGGGAGGGCUUACCUUGCAGAGCCCGGAGAUAACGGAGCUGUCUCCAGCGCUGCACUGCCGGAGCCUGCCUGCGAGGAGAGCGUUUCCAAAGGAGGUGAGGGAGGGAAGGCGCUCCAGCCUGUUGCGGUGCCAGGCUCUGCCAGCCCGCUGGUUCAGCGGCACGGGUGGGAGCCGGAGCCCUGGAGGUGUUUUUGCAGUGCUCCUGUGGCUGGCUUAAAUGGUCCUACUGACACCCGGCAAUAAAAAGGGGAGCUGCUUUAGACCAAUGCUGUUGCUGACCCACCCAGUCUCCACCCCCUUCUCGGCAGCGCCGUUUUGCUGGGUGCUGCCGCUUUUGCAAUCCAGCCGAGUGGCACGGGGAGAACGCCUUGUGUGGCUGCACACCAGGGCUGGGGGCUGUGCCCCACCAAAACACGGUCUGUGUCCAGGGUGCUGGGGCAGGGGGGUGUUGGGGUAUUAGUUUAAUUAGGCAGCUCCGCCCCCCCUUACUGCCCUCUACAUCAGUUACCUCCUCAGGCCAGGCCAGCUCACCAAAAGUAACCAGGGUAGAAGAGAGGCUGGCAGGGUCAUGAAACACCAGUGGCUCGUCAGCCCUCUGUAAUGCUGGGGCAUAGGAUGGGUGCGGGAAGCUUGCACUUGAGGCGUGGUUCCAGCCUUCCAUGCUCCAGCAAAGCUGUCUUACAGGCUUUUUUUGUUCUGUAAACCAUGUGAUCAUUUAUCAAACAUAGUUUCACAUGAAAAAAAUGUAUUUACGGGGUUAUCUAUACUGCACAGCAGUAAAAAUUUUUGCAGCAAGUAUUGCAGCUAUUUUAUCUUCUCUGUUCACCUGCCUCAGCGAGAGAGACACUGUGUGUGUGUUUCCUGCAUCUGAGCUGUGUCUUUGACUAGCAGGAAGCCGGUAGUUCUGAGUGGGCCCCUGCUCAAAAUUACCAGGCGCAUAACCCAUUUCCGGGGAGGCAGGAUGUGGCUGCUGCAGGUGUGUUACCCUUGGCCCUGAAUCCUGUCUCCAGCCUCAGUUCUGAAAGCUGUGUGUGUUAGUCCACAUGUGGUAGCAGUCCAGCUUAUUUCCCCAGGCACGCAUUGUCACUGAAAGUUGCGGGUUUCUUUUAAUCCGAGUACAAGUCUUUAUUUAGGAGACUUACAAAAGAGCUUUACACGAGAAGUACAAAAAUACGAAAUAGGCUUUGAAUCUUCUUAGUUAAAACUUGCACAGUUGUAACUUGCACAGUUGGCAUCUUAGGUAAAUUGCUCUCAUACAUUGUAAAACUAGGAAAAAAAACUUCCUGUAAAGUAGCUCCAGAAAAGUAGCUGUAUGUACCCAAUCAUACACAUCACUGUCAAUAAUUUAAGACACAAUGGCACAGUCAUACAAAUUCCCACUUUGUAAUUUCUCCUUAAAUGAAUUCCAUUGAAAGAUGCAGUAUCACUUUCCUCUUCCAGUUGUUAUAAUAUGAUUUAAUACAAACAUAAAACCGAUUAAGAAUGAUUUGGCAUGUUUUAUACUUGUACCACUUGGAUUUGAUACCACUUUGUAGUAAAAAUUAAAUAAAUAUAAAUAUGUUAAAUAAAUAUAUUGUAAAAGAACACCCCACUUACUUAUAUUAGAAUUCAGCAUUUCUUCAUGCUUCCCACACAUUUAAUGCUUUCUCACAGCUUUAGGGCCAAUGAAAAGAAAUACUGCAUCUUUAAAAACAUAGGCUCACUUGGAUGUAAUUAGCAACCCAUACAAACAGAAAAUGAGGUUCCUUUACAGCUUUAUCGCACCCAUUAAAAACACUGCCUAUAAUUUCACUGUUCUGUACAUCUCUCAUUUUCGAUUUAGCUCCUUUUUUCCCAGGAUUCAUCUUACCUCUGGCUCUGCAACUGGUGACUCUUCUUUAUAAGAAAGUAAGGAACACUUGCAGUAGAUAAAUGAUCAGCCUCUCACGAGCAGCUCACAGCUGACAUCAGUGUGUUUUUCUGAAGUUACUUGUGUAGUUCUGUUCUCAUACUGUGAUUUAAGUCAAGGACUGUUCAAGCUCUUCUGUGAAUACUGGUUGAUAUUUAAACAAUGAGGCUUAUUUUCAAAGUAGGUAAACCUUAAACUGAUUUUUCAAGUCAGUAGUUUUUUAGAACUUCACUCUAUCUGCUCAUGUAUGAGGGACUAAUUUUCCAGGGUAGUACUGAUUAAACAGAAAUUGUACUCUUUACUGUUUUUUGGAUAAUCAUAAAUUAUUCUCUUUACAAUCACUGUGGUGUGCCUAAUGCAUAACGUGGCAGUAGUGCAAUGGCAGGUUCUGAUGAUUAGCUACAACUAAAAGGCUCCUUUUGCAGAUCCCAGUCCCUAGUAAUUACAUGAUUUGAAUCACUGUAUUUUGAUUCUUUGUAGUAAAACACAUCAGUUAUAAAAUCACGUACAGUACAGGGAUGUUGGGUGACGGACACAACCAGCUUUUGCUCUCCAUUCUCACUGUCUUGAAAACUGCCUUGGAAUAACUCCAUCACCAGGGUUCAUUGCUUUUCUGAAGUUACCACUCUCUCCUUGGGCUCCUACCAUCUCCUGAUCCAGUGCAGGCAGAGGUACAAGGCACUUUUUGGAAGCUUGGUUUCUUCAAAGAGAGAGAAUUCAACUCUUUGAUCCCACUUUUCCCUGCUAAAGGUAGGCCUGUUUCACAGCCCUGUGCUUGGAAUGUUGGUCCCAGAGAAGAAAGCUCCAUCCCCCUCCUCUCAAACAGUGUCUCCUGCAAGGCUCAGCUCUGCAGAGUCCUGAUUAUAGUAAUGCUGGAACAGUCUUUCUUGGCAGCAGAUAUGCAUAGCAUUGUAGGUAUGUAGGAGCAGGUGAGGGAAACGAGCUGUAAAGUAACACACAAAAUCAUCUGGGAUGGAGCCCAGGGUCUCCUGCACUUCGGGAGGCAGUUCUCUGUAAUGGUGCUUCUAUAACGGAAAAAAGAAUAGGGGAAAAGCUCAGUCAGAGGGUAUGUGUUCAAGGAUCCUCUUUUAAAUACAGCUGUCUUUUUCAUGGACGAAGUAACCUCCUAUUAGUCUAUCAUAAAGCAGCUCAAUACCUAAAAUGAGGUGAGAUAGACCUAGACUGGCAACAACCAGCAGAAGGAGGCAGAACCGUAGCGUGUGUGUUGCUUAGGGAAAGAAGUCUUUUACCUUAUUUCGCAUGGCCCUUAGAAGAUCCCGUACUGAGCCUCCUUUGUAGGAUCUGAAUUUUCGAAGAUCUGCAAAAGAAAUUACAAGAUUUCUUUCUGUGUUUUGAUGCAGUUUUAGUUGUUGGCCUCAGAAGUAAGGUAUGCGUGCCUACAGUCACGUAUCCUUAUAGGUGUGUUUCAAUAUAUAAACAAGUUCUUUAAUUUGAAGAAAUACUUUGCUGACAAGUAAAGGUCAUGUGCCAAAACUGAGACAGUGUUAUCCUUACUUUCCUGUCCUGACAAACUGGGAAUAACAGCAUGUAACUCCUUUCCACUCCAAUAAAAUACUAUCCGUUUUACCUGUCUGAAGAGGGACAGUGAUGUGCUCUCUCCAGUCCAUUUUCACCACCUCUCUUCCUCCUCUUUCUAAUUGCUUGACUAUCGGACCAUCUAAAGAUUCUUUCUCUAUCCGGUCACUGACAUCCUG